rnacentral:rRNA from 1 species
UCGUACGCUUCUUUUUCCCCGGAGCUUGCUCCACCGGAAAAAGAAGAGUGGCGAACGGGUGAGUAACACGUGGGUAACCUGCCCAUCAGAAGGGGAUAACACUUGGAAACAGGUGCUAAUACCGUAUAACAAUCGAAACCGCAUGGUUUUGAUUUGAAAGGCGCUUUCGGGUGUCGCUGAUGGAUGGACCCGCGGUGCAUUAGCUAGUUGGUGAGGUAACGGCUCACCAAGGCCACGAUGCAUAGCCGACCUGAGAGGGUGAUCGGCCACAUUGGGACUGAGACACGGCCCAAACUCCUACGGGAGGCAGCAGUAGGGAAUCUUCGGCAAUGGACGAAAGUCUGACCGAGCAACGCCGCGUGAGUGAAGAAGGUUUUCGGAUCGUAAAACUCUGUUGUUAGAGAAGAACAAGGAUGAGAGUAACUGUUCAUCCCUUGACGGUAUCUAACCAGAAAGCCACGGCUAACUACGUGCCAGCAGCCGCGGUAAUACGUAGGUGGCAAGCGUUGUCCGGAUUUAUUGGGCGUAAAGCGAGCGCAGGCGGUUUCUUAAGUCUGAUGUGAAAGCCCCCGGCUCAACCGGGGAGGGUCAUUGGAAACUGGGAGACUUGAGUGCAGAAGAGGAGAGUGGAAUUCCAUGUGUAGCGGUGAAAUGCGUAGAUAUAUGGAGGAACACCAGUGGCGAAGGCGGCUCUCUGGUCUGUAACUGACGCUGAGGCUCGAAAGCGUGGGGAGCAAACAGGAUUAGAUACCCUGGUAGUCCACGCCGUAAACGAUGAGUGCUAAGUGUUGGAGGGUUUCCGCCCUUCAGUGCUGCAGCUAACGCAUUAAGCACUCCGCCUGGGGAGUACGACCGCAAGGUUGAAACUCAAAGGAAUUGACGGGGGCCCGCACAAGCGGUGGAGCAUGUGGUUUAAUUCGAAGCAACGCGAAGAACCUUACCAGGUCUUGACAUCCUUUGACCACUCUAGAGAUAGAGCUUCCCCUUCGGGGGCAAAGUGACAGGUGGUGCAUGGUUGUCGUCAGCUCGUGUCGUGAGAUGUUGGGUUAAGUCCCGCAACGAGCGCAACCCUUAUUGUUAGUUGCCAUCAUUCAGUUGGGCACUCUAGCAAGACUGCCGGUGACAAACCGGAGGAAGGUGGGGAUGACGUCAAAUCAUCAUGCCCCUUAUGACCUGGGCUACACACGUGCUACAAUGGGAAGUACAACGAGUCGCGAAGUCGCGAGGCUAAGCUAAUCUCUUAAAGCUUCUCUCAGUUCGGAUUGUAGGCUGCAACUCGCCUACAUGAAGCCGGAAUCGCUAGUAAUCGCGGAUCAGCACGCCGCGGUGAAUACGUUCCCGGGCCUUGUACACACCGCCCGUCACACCACGAGAGUUUUAACACCCGAAGUCGGUGAGGUAACCUUUGAGCC